AAAAAAUAAUACGCACGCGCGUGCGUACACACACACAUAUAAUUAGUAGUCAUGAAGCUUAGAGGUGACUCAAAGACCUAGAGUUUCGUAUCAAAGCAGACACACAAACAUAACUUUGUAUACGAAAGAGAGAGAGAGGCAAAAGGAGUGAAAGAAGAAGUGUUUGUCAAAAACAUAAACAGCGAGAGAAAGAAAAAAAGAAACAGAGUGAGGGUAAAAGCGAGAGAGAGAGAGAUAAACAGAAUGAAUGCAAAAGUGAAAGAAUCAAGAAAGUGAAUGAAAGAUAGAGAUAAGAGAGGAAGAGACGAUACGAUGUGUGUGUAAUGUAUAUAAUAAAACAGACGGCUCGAGAGGGGAGGAAGUCGCUUAUGAAGGAGACAAAUAAAGUAGUUCAAUUGUCAACGUUGAGUGAUGAUAACUCCAAACCCGCUAACACCGAGCUGUUGAAAUUCUGCUCGGUUUGAACUUAUUUCCACGACUGGCUGGUAAAAUUUUGGUCGUUGCCGUCACCCCAUCUUCGACAAGUGGCAUUCUCUCAAGACACCUAUCAUCCACAGUUACUAUAUGCUAUAUUGCAACAUAUACGCAUACAUAAUAAGCAUGUCCAUGAUUUUGGGAAGGAAGGAUGUAAGCUUGUGACUUUCGUUGGUGUCAUUCCAGUGGUUUGUUUCACCGGGAUUUCUGUUCUGACGUUUUACAUAGGAAACCAAUUCGACAUAUAUUACAAUUAUUGAUGUUAUUUUAUGCGUGUAAACCAACAAAACUACCCACGUAACCAUCAGUGUUCUCUCGGAUAUGUUGUGACACUACCACGAAACUAGCUGCAGGUUAUUUUUACCAUUGUUUUUCGAUUCUAACCAAGUAUUAAUUAAUAAUUGGGUACGUGUGUGUGUACGUAUAUUUUUUGCUCUUCAUUCGGAAAAAAAAUAAAUAAAUAAAAUACGAAGCGCUUUUGAGAAAUCAACAACAAAAUCUUUAAAAAAAAAAAAGAAAAGAAAAAGCAAAACCGACAGUCACCAAGUUCGGAAAAAUUUAGGCGAGGUUUUAAUUUUACCAUUCUUGUUUUAUUUUACCUGGCUUUCUGAUGAAGUUACCCCCAAAUACCUGAAGGAUGGGUAACACAUCUUCGAGCCAAAACAACAAAGGUA
rnacentral:lncRNA from 1 species